AGAGUUUGAUCCUGGCUCAGAACGAACGCUGGCGGCAGGCCUAACACAUGCAAGUCGAGCGAGACCUUCGGGUCUAGCGGCGGACGGGUUAGUAACGCGUGGGAACGUGCCCUUUACUACGGAAUAGUCCCGGGAAACUGGGUUUAAUACCGUAUACGCCCUUCGGGGGAAAGAUUUAUCGGUAAAGGAUCGGCCCGCGUUAGAUUAGAUAGUUGGUGGGGUAAUGGCCUACCAAGUCUACGAUCUAUAGCUGGUUUGAGAGGAUGAUCAGCAACACUGGGACUGAGACACGGCCCAGACUCCUACGGGAGGCAGCAGUGGGGAAUCUUGGACAAUGGGCGCAAGCCUGAUCCAGCCAUGCCGCGUGAGUGACGAAGGCCUUAGGGUCGUAAAGCUCUUUCGCCAGGGAUGAUAAUGACAGUACCUGGUAAAGAAACCCCGGCUAACUCCGUGCCAGCAGCCGCGGUAAUACGGAGGGGGUUAGCGUUGUUCGGAAUUACUGGGCGUAAAGCGCACGUAGGCGGACUGGAAAGUUGGGGGUGAAAUCCCGGGGCUCAACCUCGGAACUGCCUCCAAAACUACUAGUCUAGAGUUCGAGAGAGGUGAGUGGAAUUCCGAGUGUAGAGGUGAAAUUCGUAGAUAUUCGGAGGAACACCAGUGGCGAAAGGCGGCUCACUGGCUCGAUACUGACGCUGAGGUGCGAAAGUGUGGGGAGCAAACAGG
rnacentral:rRNA from 1 species